rnacentral:rRNA from 1 species
UCCUACGGGAGGCAGCAGUAGGGAAUCUUCCGCAAUGGACGAAAGUCUGACGGAGCAACGCCGCGUGGGCGAAGAAGGCCUUCGGGUCGUAAAGCUCUGUUGUAAGGGAAGAACAAGUGCCAUUUAACUGAUGGCACCUUGACGGUACCUUACGAGAAAGCCACGGCUGACUACGUGCCAGCAGCCGCGGUAAUACGUAGGUGGCAAGCGUUGUCCGGAUUUAUUGGGCGUAAAGCGCGCGCAGGCGGUCCUUUAAGUCUGAUGUGAAAGCCCACGGCUCAACCGUGGAGGGUCAUUGGAAGCUGGGGGACUUGAGCGCAUAAGAGGAAAGUGGAAUUCCACGUGUAGCGGUGAAAUGCGUAGAGAUGUGGAGGAACACCAGUGGCGAAGUCGACUUUCUGGUCUGUAACUGACGCUGAGGCGCGAAAGCGUGGGGAGCAAACAGGAUUAGAUGUCCUGGUAGUCCACGCCGUAAACGAUGAGUGCUAAGUGUUAGGGGGUUUCCGCCCCUUAGUGCUGCAGCUAACGCAUUAAGCACUCCGCCUGGGGAGUACGGCCGCAAGGCUGAAACUCAAAGGAAUUGACGGA